AGUGAACGCUGGCGGUAGGCCUAACACACGCAAGUCGAACGGCAGCACAGUAAGAGCUUGCUCUUACGGGUGGCGAGUGGCGGACGGGUGAGGAAUACAUCGGAAUCUACUUUUUCGUGGGGGAUAACGUAGGGAAACUUACGCUAAUACCGCAUACGACCUACGGGUGAAAGCAGGGGAUCUUCGGACCUUGCGCGAUUGAAUGAGCCGAUGUCGGAUUAGCUAGUUGGGGUGGUAAAGGCCCACCAAGGCAACGAUCCGUAGCUGGUCUGAGAGGAUGAUCAGCCACACUGGAACUGAGACACGGUCCAGACUCCUACGGGAGGCAGCAGUGGGGAAUAUUGGACAAUGGGCGCAAGCCUGAUCCAGCCAUACCGCGUGGGUGAAGAAGGCCUUCGGGUUGUAAAGCCCUUUUGUUGGGAAAGAAAAGCAGCAGGUUAAUACCCCGCUGUUCUGACGGUACCCAAAGAAUAAGCACCGGCUAACUUCGUG
rnacentral:rRNA from 1 species